AUUGGCCGUCGUAAUGAAAAGCACGGCCUUGCAGUUCGACAAGGACCGAACUUUGCGCGGGUCAACACUUUAGUUUGAGUUAGUCGUACUUACUUGAACGGCGGGGCGCUUGGCCCGACCUAGGGUUCGUCUAUGGUUGAGUUUGCGGCUUUUGUGACGAAGGCGUGUAGCCUGAGUUCUGGUUAGCCUCAUAGUUGAAUUCUUUUGUACUUAACAGUGGUGGAAGCAUUUGGCCCGAAACCUUGUCUAACUCGUAGUCGUACUUUUGGGUGAACGCACGUAGCCUGAGCCGUCGUUCAACCGUAGUUGAACCUUUGUAGCUUUCGAAGGCGCGUAGUCUAAGUCCCAGUUCGACCGUAGUCGAACUUUUGGCUGAAGGCACGUAGCCUUUACUGUCGUUCAACCGUAGUUGAACUUUUAUGUGAAGGCGCAUAGCCUGAGUUGAAGGCGCAU
rnacentral:lncRNA from 1 species